rnacentral:rRNA from 1 species
CUAAGUCUGAUGUGAAAGCCUUCGGCUUAACCGAAGAAGUGCAUCGGAAACUGGAUGACUUGAGUGCAGAAGAGGGCAGUGGAACUCCAUGUGUAGCGGUGGAAUGCGUAGAUAUAUGGAAGAACACCAGUGGCGAAGGCGGCUGCCUGGUCUGUAACUGACGCUGAGGCUCGAAAGCAUGGGUAGCGAACAGGAUUAGAUACCCUGGUAGUCCAUGCCGUAAACGAUGAGUGCUAGGUGUUGGAGGGUUUCCGCCCUUCAGUGCCGCAGCUAACGCAUUAAGCACUCCGCCUGGGGAGUACGACCGCAAGGUUGAAACUCAAAGGAAUUGACGGGGGCCCGCACAAGCGGUGGAGCAUGUGGUUUAAUUCGAAGCUACGCGAAGAACCUUACCAGGUCUUGACAUCUUGCGCCAACCCUAGAGAUAGGGCGUUCCCUUCGGGGACGCAAUGACAGGUGGUGCAUGGUCGUCGUCAGC